rnacentral:siRNA from 1 species
AAGGUGGUUCGUCUAUAGCCUG